CCUACGGGUGGCUGCAGUGAGGAAUAUUGGUCAAUGGGCGGAAGCCUGAACCAGCCAAGUCGCGUGAGGGAAUAAGGCCCUACGGGUCGUAAACCUCUUUUGCCGGGGAGCAAGGGCGGGGACGUGUCCCGCCCCGGAUAGUACCCGGUGAAAAAGCAUCGGCUAACCCCGUGCCAGCAGCCGCGGUAAUACGGAGGAUGCGAGCGUUAUCCGGAUUUAUUGGGUUUAAAGGGUGCGUAGGCGGGCUUUUAAGUCAGCGGUGAAAAGUCGGGGCUCAACCCCGUCCGGCCGUUGAAACUGGGGGCCUUGGGUGGGGGGGAAGAAGGCGGAAUGCGUGGUGUAGCGGUGAAAUGCAUAGAUAUCACGCAGAACCCCGAUUGCGAAGGCAGCCUUGCGGCGGCCUACUGACGCUUAGGCAUGAAAGUGCGGGGAUCGAACAGGAUUAGAUACCCCGAGUAGUC
rnacentral:rRNA from 1 species